rnacentral:rRNA from 1 species
CUUAACACAUGCAAGUCGAACGGGCUCUUCGGAGCUAGUGGCGGACGGGUGAGUAACGCGUGAGGAUCUGCCUUCAGGAGGGGGAUAACGACUGGAAACGGUCGCUAAUACCGCAUAUGCCUACGGGUGAAAGAUUUAUCGCCUGGAGAUGAACUCGCGUCAGAUUAGCUAGUUGGUGGGGUAAGAGCCUACCAAGGCGACGAUCUGUAGCUGGUCUGAGAGGAUGAUCAGCCACACUGGGACUGAGACACGGCCCAGACUCCUACGGGAGGCAGCAGUGGGGAAUUUUCCGCAAUGGGCGCAAGCCUGACGGAGCAAGACCGAGUGCGGGAUGACGGCCUAAUGGUUGUAAACCGCUUUUCUCUGGGAAGAUGAUGACGGUACCAGAGGAAUCAGCCUCGGCUAACUCCGUGCCAGCAGACCGCGGUAAUACGGAGGAGGCAAGCGUUAUCCGGAAUUAUUGGGCGUAAAGCGUCCGUAGGUGGUUAUUCAAGUCUGCUGUCAAAGCGUGGGGAUUAACUCCAUAGAGGCAGUGGAAACUGGAUGACUUGAGUGCGGUAAGGGUAGAGGGAAUACCCAGUGUAGCGGUGAAAUGCGUAGAUAUAGGGAAGAACACCCAGUGGCGAAAGCGCUCGAAUGGGACUGAAAUGACACUGAAGGACGAAAGCUAGGGGAGCGAAAGGGAUUAGAUACCCCUGUAGUCCUAGCCGUAAACGAUGGAUACUAGGUGUUGCUCGUCAUCGACCCGAGCAGUGCCGUAGCCAACGCGUUAAGUAUCCCGCCUGGGGAGUACGCUCGCAAGAGUGUAACUCAAAGGAAUUGACGGGGGCCCGCACAAGCGGUGGAGUAUGUGGUUUAAUUCGAUGCAACGCGAAGAACCUUACCAGGGCUUGACAUGUCCGGAACCUUGCCGAAAGGUGUAGGGUGCCUACGGGAACCGGAGCACAGGUGGUGCAUGGCUGUCGUCAGCUCGUGUCGUGAGAUGUUGGGUUAAGUCCCGCAACGAGCGCAACCCACGUUCUUAGUUGCCAGCAUUCAGUUGGGCACUCUAGGGAGACUGCCGGUGACAAACCGGAGGGAGGUGUGGAUGACGUCAAGUCAGCAUGCCCCUUACGUCCUGGGCUACACACGUACUACAAUGCUGUGGACAAAGGGCAGCCAGCCGGCGACGGUGAGCUAAUCCCAUAAACCACGGCACAGUUCAGAUUGCAGGCUGCAACUCGCCUGCAUGAAGGAGGAAUCGCUAGUAAUCGCAGGUCAGCAUACUGCGGUGUAUACGUUCCCGGGCAUUGUACACACCGCCCGUCACACCAUGGGAGUUGGUUUUGCCCGAAGUCGUUACUCCAACCUGCGGGGGGGGA